rnacentral:rRNA from 1 species
AUGCAGCCUUCAGACAUUUGGAAGGCGCAUGCGUCGCAGCAGCAGCAGUCGGAGGGGCCAGGGCUGGACAUGGAGAGGAGCAACGGAUGCAACGGCCAUAACUGCUGCCCAUCCCCUCUCCAGCCCGUCGCCUCAGCUGGUCAGCACUCCGAAAGCAGCGCCGCCUACUUCUCUUGGCCCACGUCUACGCUGAUGCACGGUUCCGCUGAGGGCCGCGCCAACUACUUUGGGAACCUGCAGAAGGGCGUGCUGCCGGGACACCUUGGCCGCCUGCCCAAAGGCCAGCAGGCCACCACCCUGCUCGAUCUCAUGAUUAUAAGGGCGUUCCACAGCAAGAUCCUGCGCCGCUUCAGCCUUGGCACGGCCAUAGGCUUUCGGAUCAGGAAGGGGACGUUGACCGACACGCCUGCCAUCCUCGUGUUUGUUGCUCGCAAGGUUAACAAGAAGUGGCUCAGGCCUACGCAGUGCCUUCCAGCUGCCCUUGAGGGACCUGGGGGUGUGUGGUGUGAUGUUGAUGUUGUUGAGUUCUCUUAUUAUGGUGCACCAGCACCGACUCCAAAGGAACAAUUGUAUGACGAGCUUGUUGAUGGGCUGCGGGGAAGUGAUCCAUCUAUAGGCUCUGGUUCACAGGUAGCUAGCCUUGAAACAUACGGGACUUUGGGUGCCAUUGUGAAGAGUCGAACUGGCAACAAGCAAGUUGGUUUCUUAACGAAUAGGCAUGUUGCAGUUGACCUGGAUUAUCCUAAUCAGAAGAUGUUCCAUCCGUUGCCCCCUAAUCUUGGGCCUGGAGUUUACCUUGGUGCUGUUGAGAGAGCCACUUCUUUUAUCACGGAUGAUGUUUGGUAUGGUAUCUAUGCGGGAACGAACCCAGAAACAUUUGUCCGGGCUGAUGGUGCAUUUAUACCAUUUGCGGACGACUUUGACAUUACUAAUGUCAGCACUUCAGUUAAAGGAGUUGGACUCAUCGGUGACAUCAAGGCAAUCGAUCUGCAGUCCCCGAUUGGUAGUCUCAUCGGGAAGCAAGUUGUGAAAGUUGGAAGAAGCUCAGGCCAUACGACAGGGACCGUCAUGGCAUAUGCUCUUGAAUACAACGACGAGAAGGGCAUAUGCUUUUUCACUGACUUCCUUGUCGUCGGGGAGAACCAGCAAACGUUUGAUCUUGAAGGGGACAGCGGAAGCCUUAUAAUCUUAACAGGACAAGAUGGUGAGAAGCCACAGCCUAUAGGGAUUAUAUGGGGUGGCACGGCCAACCGCGGAAGGUUGAAGCUGAAAAGUGGGCAGGGCCCAGAGAACUGGACGAGUGGUGUUGAUCUGGGGCGCCUUCUUGACCUCCUCGAGCUCGAUCUGAUCACGACAAGCGAAGGGCUGCAAGAGGCUCUGGAGGAGCAGAGGAUCACGGUAGCGGCGGCCAAUUCUACGGGUACCGAGUCGUCGCCCGUGGCCACCACCCCGCAAGAAGCCGAGAAAGUGGACAAGAUCUACGAGCCCCUGGGGAUCAACAUACAGCAGCUUCCACGGGACGGCUCCGCCAACUCGAUGGACCAGCCCUUUGGGCCUGACGAGUUCCGCGUUGACACGGUGGAUGGGGUGAACAGCAACGUGGAGGAGCGGCAGUUCAUCCCGAACCUGAUGGGCAUGUCCCCGAUGCGCGACGAGCAAGGAGGCAACGGCGAGCUGGAAAACAACAACCUGGAGAGCUCGGCGGAGGACAUCUGCUUCUCGCUGCACCUGGGCGAGCGGGAGCCCAAGAGGCUCCGCUCCGACACGACGACGGUGGACAUAGACCUGCAGAAAUGA